UCUCUUUUAGAAUGUUUGUUAUUGAUUCCAGUUGACACGUGCUUAAAAUGCACACACCCUAUUUCAUUGUCAACUUGAAUUAAUAUUUCAAUGAUUACACAUAGCCCUGUAAGCAUUAGCUCUGUAAUAAGCAGGAUGUUGUGUUUCAUUUUUGGAUAUAGUGCCCCAUGCCACUCUCAAAUACUUACAUUUUCUACUUGUCAUAAUAAUUAAGAAAAGUCACAUAUUUCCUA